GGAGGAUUCGCCUAGUGGCCUAGGGCGCACGCUUGGAAAGCGUGUUGGGGGCAACCCCUCAAGAGUUCGAAUCUCUUAUCCUCCGCCA
rnacentral:tRNA from 1 species